rnacentral:misc_RNA from 1 species
UUUCCGUAGGUGAACCUGCGGAAGGAUCAUUACCUAGAGUUGUAGGCUUUGCCUGCUAUCUCUUACCCAUGUCUUUUGAGUACCUUCGUUUCCUCGGUGGGUUCGCCCGCCGAUUGGACAAAACUUAAACCCUUUGUAGUUGCAAUCAGCGUCUGAAAAAACUUAAUAGUUACAACUUUCAACAACGGAUCUCUUGGUUCUGGCAUCGAUGAAGAACGCAGC